rnacentral:rRNA from 1 species
GACGAACGCUGGCGGCGUGCCUAAUACAUGCAAGUAGAACGCUGAAGAGAGGAGCUUACUCUUCUUGGAUGAGUUGCGAACGGGUGAGUAACGCGUAGGUAACCUGCCUUGUAGCGGGGGAUAACUAUUGGAAACGAUAGCUAAUACCGCAUAACAAUGGAUGACACAUGUCAUUUAUUUGAAAGGGGCAAUUGCUCCACUACAAGAUGGACCUGCGUUGUAUUAGCUAGUAGGUGAGGUAAUGGCUCACCUAGGCGACGAUACAUAGCCGACCUGAGAGGGUGAUCGGCCACACUGGGACUGAGACACGGCCCAGACUCCUACGGGAGGCAGCAGUAGGGAAGCUUCGGCAAUGGGGGCAACCCUGACCGAGCAACGCCGCGUGAGUGAAGAAGGUUUUCGGAUCGUAAGGCUCGGUUGUAAGUCAAGAACGGGUGUGAGAGUGGAAAGUUCACACUGUGACGGUAGCUUACCAGAAAGGGACGGCUAACUACGUG